rnacentral:snRNA from 1 species
GUGGCCAGCUCCCUUUGACCACACUUACGCUAAAAUUGGAAAGAUACGCAGAAGAUCGGUGUGUCCCCUGCACAAGGAUGACACGCAGAUUCGUGAAGCAUUGCAUUCUUUC